UACGGAGGGGACUAGCGUUGUUCGGAAUUACUGGGCGUAAAGCGCACGUAGGCGGAUUUGUAAGUCAGGGGUGAAAUCCCGGGGCUCAACCUCGGAACUGCCUUUGAUACUGCAAAUCUCGAGUCCGGAAGAGGUGAGUGGAAUUCCUAGUGUAGAGGUGAAAUUCGUAGAUAUUAGGAAGAACACCAGUGGCGAAGGCGGCUCACUGGUCCGGUACUGACGCUGAGGUGCGAAAAGCGUGGGGAGCAAACAGGGAUUAAGAAACCCC
rnacentral:rRNA from 1 species